UAUUGGACAAUGGGGGAAACCCUGAUCCAGCGACGCCGCGUGAGUGAAGAAGUAUUUCGGUAUGUAAAGCUCUGUCAGCAGGGAAGAAAGAAAUGCCGGUACCUGACCAAGAAGCCCCGGCUAACUACGUGCCACCAGCCGCGGUAAUACGUAGGGGGCAAGCGUUAUCCGGAAUUACUGGGUGUAAAGGGAGCGUGGACGGUAAUGUAAGUCUGGAGUGAAAGGCGGGGGGCCCGACCCCCGGACUGCUCUGGAAACUAUGUUACUAGAGUGCAGGAGAGGUAAGCGGAAUUCCUAGUGUAACGGUGAAAUGCGUAGAUAUUAGGAGGAACACCAGCGGCGAAGGCGGCUUACUGGACUGUAACUGACGUUGAGGCUCGAAAGCGUGGGGAGCAAACAGG
rnacentral:rRNA from 1 species